UUAGAUAUCUAAGGAUUUUUAAAGCUGGGGACCUUAACAGGCCUGGCACUUGGAGAUUGGCCCAUGGCUUAUUAGCUUGUUGGUGAGGUAAAAGCUCACCAAGGCUCUGAUGAGUAGCCGGCCUGAGAGGGUGAACGGCCACACUGGGACUGAGACACUGCCCAGACUCCUACGGGAGGCUGCAGUCGUGAAUCUUUCGCAAUGGGCGAAAGCCUGACGAAGCGACGCCGCGUGCAGGAUGACGGCCUUCGGGUUGUAAACUGCUGUCAAAAGGGACGAAUCAAGUUUGGUUAACAACCUUAUUUGUUGACGGUACCUUGAGAGGAAGCCACGGCUAACUCUGUGCCAGCAGCCGCGGUAAUACAGAGGUGGCUAGCGUUGUUCGGAUUUACUGGGCGUAAAGGGUGUGUAGGUGGCUAGGUAAGUUGGAUGUGAAAGACCACAGCUCAGCUGGGGAAUUGCAUUCAAUACUGCCAAGCUAGAGGAUUUGGGAAGAGAGCGGAAUUCUAGGUGUAGCGGUGAAAUGCGUAGAUAUCUAGAAGAACACCAGUGGCGUAGGCGGCUCUCUAUCAUUCUCCUGACACUGAGGCACGAAAGCAUGGGGAGCAAACGGGAUUAGAUACCCCGGUAGUCCAUGCUAUAAACGAUGAGAACUGGGUGUACGAGGCAUCGACCCCUCGUGUGCCGAAGCUAACGCAUUAAGUUCUCCGCCUGGGGACUACGGCCGCAAGGCUAAAACUCAAAGAAAUUGACGGGGGCCCGCACAAGCGGUGGAGCAUGUGGUUUAAUACGACGCAACGCGUAGAACCUUACCAGGGCUUGACAUGCACUUGAAAGCUCUAUGAAAGUAGAGCCCCUCCUCGGAGCAGGUGUGCAGGUGUUGCACGGCUGUCGUCAGCUCGUGUCGUGAGAUGUUGGGUUAAGUCCCGCAACGAGCGCAACCCCUAUCCUUAAUUGCUACCAGAAAUGGAGAACCUUAGGGAGACCGCCUAGGUAAACUAGGAGGAAGGUGGGGAUGACGUCAAGUCAUUGUGGCCCUUACGCCCUGGGCUACACACGUGCUACAAUGGUCGGUACAAAGGGUUGCGAAUCCGCAAGGUGAAGCCAAUCCCAAAAAGCCGAUCUCAGUUCGGAUUGAAGGCUGCAACUCGCCUUCAUGAAGCUGGAAUCGCUAGUAAUGGCACAUCAGCUACGGUGCCGUGAAUACGUUCCCGGGCCUUGUACACACCGCCCGUCACAUCAUGGAAGCUGCGUGUACCCGAAGUUACUGUGCUAACCCGCAAGGGAAGUAGGUACCUAAGGUAUGUGUAGUGACUGGGAUGAAGUCGUAACAAGGUA
rnacentral:rRNA from 1 species